rnacentral:lncRNA from 10 species
UACCUUGAAGAAGAAUAAAGUAGGGUAGGGAAGUCAGGAAAGAUCUCAGAAUGUGAUGCUUGAGCAGAGCCCACAGUGCUAUGAGGGAACAGGCCAUGAGAGUACCUAGGGAAGAAAUCUUUCUAAGCAGAGGAAAGAGGAGGUACUUGUGAAAGCUGAUCAUAAAAUUGGGUCAUUCUUGUCAUUCCCAAUUAAAUCAGAGCCAAGGGGCUAGGGGGAAAAGCACUCAGGGUACAAAACAUUGCUCCAAGAAUGUAAUUCUCUGCAAGCCUGACUGCUGAAACUGCCUGUUGUAACCUGAGACCAGCUUUAUCUAUAAAUGCUAAGAGAACUUGCUGAAACUCUAGGACUAAUUUUGCCCACUGCCAUCACUCACCAGAGCUUGCUAGCUCCCCAAACCCUAACUAGUCCCAAAGAACUUUCUUGAAGAGCAAUAUGUAACAGCUCUCCUGUUUCUAAAACCUCUAACCUUCUCUUUGUUCUUCAGACAUACUGAAGACCACCCUGUCUGCAUAUAUGCCCCAAAUUGCUAUUCUUUCUUUCCAAAUAAAAAAUUUUAAUUUAGAGACUUGUCUCACAUUUUUAUUCUGGCUUCAACAUACUAAAGCCCUAAGCUAGGAGUCUGCUUGACUUAUCCAAGAAUCCACAAAGUAACCAGUAUGUCUAAAGCCUAAUGAGUGAGAAAAAAAGUGGUAGGAAGUGAGGUCAGAGGAAUAGCCAGGGGUCACAUCCAUCAUCAGGCCAUAGUCAGGAUUUUGGAUUUCAUUUUAAAUGUGGUAAGAUGCCAGAGUGUGAAGAGAAGAGAAGGAAAUGAUUGUUGUAUGAUAAAAUAAUUGCUCAGUUGUGUGGAAAAUAGGCUAAGGAGGGCAGGGACUUAAAAGUGGAGAUAUGGCCGGGCUCGGUGGCUCAUGUCUGUAAUCCCAGCACUUCAGGAGGCUGAGGCGGGCGGAUCACGAGGUCAGGAGAUUGAGAUGAGCCUGGCUAACACAGUGAAACCCCAUCUCUACUAAAAAUACAAAAAAUUAACCGGGCGUGGUAGCAGGCGCCUGUAGUCCCAGCUACUGGGGAGGCUGAGGCAGGAGAAUGGCGUGAACCCGGGAGGCGGAGUUUGCAGUGAGCCGAGAUCCCACCACUGCACUCCAGCCCGGGCGACACAGUGAGACUCCAUCUCAAAAAGAAAAAAAAAAAAAAAAAAAGUGGAGAUAUGGAGAUAUACAGACCUGCUAGGAAGUUACUGUCCUGGUCCAAGCUAGAGAUGAUAAAGGCUGAUUAGUGAGGUUAAAAAAUACAUUUGAAGGUAAAGCUAAUUGCACAGAUAUAUGUUGUACAGUUGUACAGAUGGAUGGAAUAAGAGAUGUAAGAGAAAGAGAAUCAAUGAUAACGCUAGAUUUCUGGCUUUAGCAAUGGGGUAAAUAAUAGCACUCUUCAAUGAAAAGCAGGAACACCCAGAGAGGAGGAAGAAAGAUGGGAGGUGGGGGAAAACAAUAGUUUGGGACAAAUCCAUAGUAUGGGUUAACAGAUCUAUUAUUAUCCAAAUGGAGAGGUUGACUAAGCAGUUGGAUAUGUAAGUAUGGAGUUCAAGGGAGAAGUCAAGGCUAGAAAUAAACAUUUGGUGUCAAACAUAAAAGAUAUUUAAUACCAUGUGUAUUAGUCACAGCUCUUCAGAGAAACAGAACCAAUAGGAUACAUGUAUAUAUAGAGAGAUUUUUUUCUUUUCUUUUUUUUAAAGAAUUGACUCACACAGUUGUGAGGGCUGAUAAGUCUGAAAACUCCAAGGCUGGCUGAUAGGCUGGAAAUUCAAGCAGGCAUUGAUGUGGCAAUCUUGAGACUAACGGUGGUCUGGGUGCAGAAUUGCUUCCUCUUUGGGAAACCUCCAUCUUUUCUCUAAGGUCUUCAACUAAUUGGAUGAAGCCCAUCCACAUUAUGGAGGGUCACUAGCUUUACUCAAAGCCUACUGAUUUCAUUGUAAGUCACAUCUAAAAAAUACCUUCACAGCAACAUCUAUGCUUUUAUCUGCCAAACAACUGGGCACCGUAUGCUAGCCAAGUUGACACAUAAAAUUAACUGUCACUCCAUGGGACUAGAUGAAAUUACCCAGGAGUUAAUGUAUUUAGAGAAAUAAAGAUGGCCCAGGACAGAGCCCUGGCACGCUCAAACUGCAAAAGGGGAAAAGAACCCAGCAAUGGAGCCUAAGAAGGAGCUGGCAGGAGGUAGGAGGAAAACCAAGACUGUGUGGUGUCUCAGAAGCCAAUGAAGAAGUGCUCCAAAAAGGAAGAUCAACUAUUUCAAGCACUGCCAAGAAAUCCUAUAAGGCCCUGGGAAGAUUACGUAGCCAACACUGGUGUGAAAAUCAUGCCUAUGGAGGGUUCUUUUGGAACCCAGAAGAAACAGAUAAAGGAGGUGUUUAUUCAUGAAACCAGCACUUAGAAGACUGCAUCAGCAGUUCCAGCUCCAUGAUUACAAGCUCCUCGAAGACAUGAACCAGAUCACACCUCUCCUGUGUGGCUAAGGCCAACUGCACAUGUAGAACGGUGUUCCUCCUAUGCUUGGGACAAAUAAAUCUCACAAAAUCAAAACUGUGUUAAUAUUCAUGCUUCCUACUUGCCUUAGAACGGGGUGUCAAACUUGGUCUUUUUUUUUUUUUUUUUUUUUUUUAAUACAGAGUCUUGCUCUUGUUGCCCAGGCUGAAGUGCAAUGGCACAAUCUCAGCGCACUGCAACCUCCGCCUCCUGCGUUCAAGCAAUUCUCCUGCCUCAGCCUCCUGAGUCGCUGGGAUAAUAGGCGCCCACCACCAUGCCUGGCUAAUUUUUGUAUUUUUAGUAGAGACAGGAUUUUGCCAUGUUGGCCAAGCUGGUCUCGCGCCUGUAAUCCCAAAAGUUUGUGAGGCCGAGGCAGGUGGAUCACCUGACAUCAGGAGUUUGAGACCAGCCUGACCAACACGGUGAAAACCUGUCUCUACUAAAAACACAAAAUUAGCCAGGCAUGGUGGCACAUGCCUGUAAUCCCAUCUACUUGGGAGGCUGAGGCAGGAGAAUUGCUUGAAUCCAGGAGGCAGAGGUUGCAGUGAGCUGAGAUUGCACCUUUGCUCACUGAGCUGAGAAUGCACUUAUUUCGUCUCAAAAUAAAUAAACAUAGUGAGAAGACUGGCAUUGUUUCACAUUUUUUUGAAUUUUUUUAGCAUUGGUCCUAAUAAAAAACAACUAGAUUCCCAUAUUUGCUUCUGGAUUAAUUUGUUGCAAUAUACGUUGUUUUGGCAGAAGUAAAUGAAAAAUCCAGUCUCACACAGAAAAGUAGUUGGAAAAGGAGAAAUUUAAUAGAUUUUUCAGUCACCGCACCUCCCCACUGGCAACACACAUUUAAAAAAGAUAAGAAUAGUCUGAAAAAUGAUAGAGAAAGUAAAGAGGACAUUUAAGAAAGAACAAGGGGGACGGGCAUGGUGGCUCACGCCUGUAAUCCCAGAACUUUGGGAGGCCGAGGUGGAUGGAUCACCUGAGGUCAGGAGUUCAAGACCAGCCUGACCAACAUGGAGAAACUCUGUCUCUACCAAAAAUACAAAAUAAAUUGGCCGUGGUGGCGCAUGCCUGUGAUCCCAGCUACUCUGGGGGCUGAGGCAGGAGAAUCGCUCGAACCCUAGAGGUGGAGGUUGUGGCAAGCCCAGAUCGUGCCAUCGCACUCCAACCUGGGCAACAAGAGCAAAACUCCAUCUCAAUUAAAAAAAAAAAAAGAAAGAAAGAGCAAGGGAAGUAUAACUGGGGAACCACCGGGACAAAAGUCAAUUCAUAAUCCAAUGCUUAUUUUCUGGGACUGAAAAUAAAGUUCAUACAUGUAUUAAAUCACAGACUCUUAAAACUUCCUUAGCCACUUACUAACAGAUUUAGAAAUAAAACAUCUGCCAUUUGUUACCAAAAAACACAAGUUUUCCACAUUCAGAGAGUAAAUCCUUACAAAUCAUGCUCCCCAAGCACUUAGUGCAUUCAUCCUGCCCAUCUCUUCCGAUGUUACCUCCUUUACCUUUCCCAUCCUUGAAGGACAUGUUCAUUUGCUUUAUCUUAUAUUAGUUUAAUUUGCUUGUUUGGUUAUUGUUCCGUUUGGUUAUUUUUCCCUAAUUCACAGCAAGUUGCAAGUGACUUAAGUUUCCCAGGAAAAUUUAUAUUUUUAUAAAAGGCUACUUUUGGACCCAGAAGAAAUUUUAUUUAUUGAGAUUACCUUUCAUACUAUGGAGUAUUUAGGGGCAAGAGCCUUCCUUGAUGAAGGAAUAGAAGGGUCACCGUAGAGGAGCCAGACAACAUGGUAUUAUGGAAAUAACACAGGCUUCAGAAUUACAUGGGCCUGUGUUCAAAUUAUAGAUCCAGUAUUUAUAUGAAGUUAGGGAAGUUUUCUGUUGUUGUUGUUUUUUGUGUUUUUUUUUUGUUUGUUUUGUGAGAUGGAGUUGUGCUCUUGUUGCCCAGGCUGGAGUGCAAUGGUGUGAUCUUGGCUCACCGCAACCUCUGCCUCCCGGGUCCAAGCAAUUCUCCUGCCUCAACCUCCCGAAUAGCUGGGAUUACAGGCAUGAGCCACCAUGCCCGGCUAAUUUUGUAUUUUUAGUACAGACGGGGUUUCUCCAUACUGGUCAGGCUGGUCUUGAACUCCCGACCUCAGGUAAUCCUCCCGCCUCUGCCUCCCAAAGUGCUGGGAUUAGAGGCAUGAGCCACCAUGCCCGGCUAAUUUUGUAUUUUUAGUACAGACGGGGUUUCUCCAUACUGGUCAGGCUGGUCUUGAACUCCUGACCUCAGGCAAUCCUCCCACCUCCACCUCCCAAAGUGCUGGGAUUACAGGCGUGAGCCACUGCACCGGGUCAAUGUUAAGGAAGUUAAUUGACUUCUCUGGGAUUCAAUUUCCUCAUUUAUAAAAUAUAGAGAAUAUCUCCCUUGCUGAGUUCAUGUGAGGAUAGGUGACUAUACUUAACCCAGCAUAGUCCAUGUAAAACAGGGACUAACACUCUAUAUAUGGUAGUUAUUAUGUGAUGCUCUCUGUGUUAGAGAACCUGUCUUUAGAAACAUCAAGUAAUAUGUCUUGCCACACAACUACCUCCUUCCUCCUGACCCUAGAAAUGAAACUUAUGGCCGGGCGUGGUGGCUCACACCUGUAAUCUCAGCACUUUGGGAGGCUGAGGCGGGCGGCUCACCUGAGGUCAGGAGUUCGAGACCAGCCUCAACAUGGAGAAACCCCAUCUCUACUAAAAAUACAAAAUUAGCCAGGCGUAGUGGUGCAUGCCUGUAAUCUCAGCUACUCAGGAGGCUGAGGCAGGAGAAUUGCUUGAACCUGGGAGGCGGAGGUUGCGGUGAGCUGAGAUCGCACCAUUGCACUCCAGCCUGGGCAACAAGAGCGAAACUCCAUCUCAAAAAAAAAAAAAAAAAAGAAAUGAAACUUAUAUGCCAAUUGUUCAUAUCUCCCAAUUGCCAUAUAUCUUUCUCUGUCUAGUUGAAUCCUUUCUUUGUUGUUGCUGUUGUUGUUGUUGUUGUGGUUCUGAGACAGAGUCUCACUCUGUCACCCAGGCUGGAAUGCUGUGGUGCGAUCUUGGCUCAGUGUAACCUCUGCCUCCUGGGUUCCAGCAAUUCUCCUGCCUCAGCCUCCCAGGUAGCUGGGACUACAGGUGCACACCACCACACCCAGCUAAUUUUUUUUAUUAUUUAGUAGAGACAGGGUUUCACCAUAUUGGCCAGGCUGGUCUCAAACUCUUUACCUCAGGGAAUCCAGCCACCACAGCCUCCCCAAGUGCUGGGACUACAGAAGCGAGCCACCAUGCCAGGCCCUUUCUUUGUAUUCCUUUGGAGACUGAGCAGAAGCUGUCAAUGCCCAGGACUCUGCUUCCUUAAAGCUACUAGGCAUGAAGUUUACCUCCUCUUCCUAAUCUGGAAGAGCCCACUUUUCCUAAUAGAAAUGAUGGUGCUGGCCACUAGCAGAUCCUUUUUGUUUUUCGAUACAAGGUCUCACUCAGUAAUCCAGGCUAGAGUGCAAUGGUGCAAUCAUAGCUCACUGUAACCUUGAACUCCUUGGCUCAAGCAAACCUCCUGCCUCAGCCUCCUGAGUAGCUAGAACUAUGGGCUCAUGCCACUGUGCCUGGUUAACUUUUUAAUUCUUUAUUUUUGUAGAGACAAGCUCUCACUCUUGCCCAGGCUGGACUCAAACUCCUGGCCUCAAGCGAUCCUACUACCCUGGCCUCCCAGUGUGUUGGGAUUAGAGGCAUGAGUCACCAACAGGCCUAGAUUAGAUUCUUAAUAAUGUUUGUCUGUGAGCCCUUGGGAUUUUCUGACCCACAAAAAAGGAGCACCAUGGUCCUAGAAAGAAGCUUUCCAUUUUACUCCACCAAUCUUUCUCUCCCUGGGAUUUCCCAGUAGCACUUUUCAUGGAUCUUUCACCUUUACUGAUCUUUGUAUGUCCCUGCCAAAAUUUCUGAAUGCAUCUCAGUUUAUAUUUAAUUCAAAUACUAUUUGUAUUACUUAUCAGAAAGGAGACAAAUUUGCAAAAGUAAAGUUACCAUAAAACCAGCAAAUACUGUAUCUGUAACUAGAUUCAUGAGUAAUAAGAAGAAUAAUUUCAAUAAGAGGAAACUCUGGGUAAUACCAAGGCUAUACACUAGGUAAAGGCUAAAGGUGAAUAUGAUUAG